CCUACGGGAGGCAGCAGUAGGGAAUCUUCCGCAAUGGACGAAAGUCUGACGGAGCAACGCCGCGUGAACGAUGAAGGCCUUCGGGUCGUAAAGUUCUGUUGUUAGGGAAGAACAAGUGCUAGUUGAAUAAGCUGGCACCUUGACGGUACCUAACCAGAAAGCCACGGCUAACUACGUGCCAGCAGCCGCGGUAAUACGUAGGUGGCAAGCGUUGUCCGGAAUUAUUGGGCGUAAAGCGCGCGCAGGCGGUUUCUUAAGUCUGAUGUGAAAGCCCCCGGCUCAACCGGGGAGGGUCAUUGGAAACUGGGAAACUUGAGUGCAGAAGAGGAAAGUGGAAUUCCAAGUGUAGCGGUGAAAUGCGUAGAGAUUUGGAGGAACACCAGUGGCGAAGGCGACUUUCUGGUCUGUAACUGACGCUGAGGCGCGAAAGCGUGGGGAGCAAACAGGAUUAGAUACCCUGGUAGUCCACGCUGUAAACGAUGAGUGCUAAGUGUUAGAGGGUUUCCGCCCUUUAGUGCUGAAGUUAACGCAUUAAGCACUCCGCCUGGGGAGUACGGUCGCAAGACUGAAACUCAAAAGUGAAUUGACGG
rnacentral:rRNA from 1 species